AUCGAAUCUCCUCCCAAUCUCUCUGAUACCAACGUAGCAAGUUGUGUUCGAAGGGCAUCCAGUUCUCGGCGAAGAAUCUACGCGAUCUUCUUUUUGUGUCUUUCACGAGAUUCACUUCCAUCUUCUACUGCUUUCGCUUUCUUACCAUUUCCGCUGCUAUAUAUUCUCUUUCCCACCUUCAUUUAUAACCGAGCAAGCAACGAGGCAGGGCAAACAUAGCUACUAUGGCUGCUAGGAAUUUGGAGA
rnacentral:misc_RNA from 1 species